UGGGGAAUAUUGGACAAUGGGGGGAACCCUGAUCCAGCCAUGCCGCGUGUGUGAAGAAGGCCUUAUGGUUGUAAAGCACUUUAAGCGAGGAGGAGGGUACUGGUAUUAAUACUACCAGCUACUGGACGUUACUCGCAGAAUAAGCACCGGCUAACUCUGUGCCAGCAGCCGCGGUAAUACAGAGGGUGCGAGCGUUAAUCGGAUUUACUGGGCGUAAAGCGUGCGUAGGCGGCGAAUUGAGUCGGAUGUGAAAUACCCGAGGUUAACUUGGGAAAUGCAUUCGGUAAUGGUUAGCUAGAGUGUGGGGGAGGAUGGUAGAAAUCCAGGUGUAGUGGUGGAAUGCGUAGAGAUCUGGAGGAAAACCGCUGGCGAAAGCAGCCCUCUUGCGUAACACUGGCGCUGGGGUUCGAAAACAUGGGGGGGAAAAAGG
rnacentral:rRNA from 1 species